GACGAACGCUGGCGGCAUGCCUAACACAUGCAAGUUGAGCGACUAACCAGGCUUCGGCCUGGGGCGAAGCAGCGAACGGGUGAGUAACACGUGGGUAACCUACCCCGAUGACCGGGACAACCCGAGGAAACUCGGGCUAAUACCGGAUGUUCUCUACAUACAUCAGUGCGUAGAGCAAAGGAAGCUUCGGCCUCCGCAUCGGGAGGGCCCGCGGCCCAUUAGCUUGUUGGUGAGGUAACGGCNCACCAAGGCUCCGAUGGGUAGCUGGUCUGAGAGGACGAUCAGCCACACUGGGACUGAGACACGGCCCAGACUCCUACGGGAGGCAGCAGUGGGGAAUCUUGCGCAAUGCGCGAAAGCGUGACGCAGCAAUGCCGCGUGGA
rnacentral:rRNA from 1 species